GCGCGUAGACGAUGCGGAACUUCUGCUCCAUCUUGUGCCACUUGCUGUACCAGCUGUCCUCAUCGGUGACGAGCGGGAGGUACGGGUGCUCGGGCGAGUUGUCCUCGCUCGUGCUGCUCUCGGCGCUGUGCCGCUCCUCCUCGUCCGUCAGGUAGUAAAGAAAUUGAUGGUCCAAGAGGUUGACUGAUCUGUUCGGAGUCACAUGGCUUAUGAGUAGUCAAGCAGUUCCAGGCAUUUCUGCAGAGGUCUGAUGUGCACAGCACUGUGCUGGGCACUAGUGCUGGGAGACAGAUGCAGUGUGGUGGAGUGCGUGCCCAGGAACCGGGAAGGAGCUAUGGGAGCCAGGAGCCAGGGCAUCAGCCACGUUGCGAGAGGACGCUUUCUUGGAGGACAGCCCCAGAGCCAUGGUGGUCUGGACAAAGCUCGCUUCCAUCCAGAUGUGCGGCCACUGCUGCCGCCGCCCGCUGCCCCCCCACCCCUCCCGG
rnacentral:lncRNA from 1 species